rnacentral:rRNA from 1 species
AGUCGAACGGAAAGGCCCAGCUUGCUGGGCGCUCGAGUGGCGAACGGGUGAGUAACACGUGGGUGAUCUGCCUCUAACUUCGGGAUAAGCUUGGGAAACUGGGUCUAAUACCGGAUAGGACAAUCGUUUAGUGUCGGUUGUGGAAAGUUUUUUCGGUUAGGGAUGAGCCCGCGGCCUAUCAGCUUGUUGGUGGGGUAAUGGCCUACCAAGGCGUCGACGGGUAGCCGGCCUGAGAGGGUGGACGGCCACAUUGGGACUGAGAUACGGCCCAGACUCCUACGGGAGGCAGCAGUGGGGAAUAUUGCACAAUGGGCGCAAGCCUGAUGCAGCGACGCCGCGUGGGGGAUGACGGCCUUCGGGUUGUAAACCUCUUUCGACAGGGACGAAGCUUUGGUGACGGUACCUGUAUAAGAAGCACCGGCUAACUACGUGCCAGCAGCCGCGGUAAUACGUAGGGUGCGAGCGUUGUCCGGAAUUACUGGGCGUAAAGAGCUCGUAGGUGGUUUGUCGCGUCGUCUGUGAAAUUCCGGGGCUUAACUUCGGGCGUGCAGGCGAUACGGGCAUAACUUGAGUGCUGUAGGGGAGACUGGAAUUCCUGGUGUAGCGGUGGAAUGCGCAGAUAUCAGGAGGAACACCGAUGGCGAAGGCAGGUCUCUGGGCAGUAACUGACGCUGAGGAGCGAAAGCAUGGGGAGCGAAUAGGAUUAGAUGCCCUGGUAGUCCAUGCCGUAAACGGUGGGCGCUAGGUGUAGGGGUCUUCCACGACUUCUGUGCCGUAGCUAACGCAUUAAGCGCCCCGCCUGGGGAGUACGGCCGCAAGGCUAAAACUCAAAGGAAUUGACGGGGGCCCGCACAAGCGGCGGAACAUGUGGAUUAAUUCGAUGCAACGCGAAAAA